rnacentral:rRNA from 1 species
CCUACGGGCGGCAGCAGUGGGGAAUAUUGCACAAUGGGCGGAACCCUGAUGCAGCCACGCCGCGUGAGUGAAGAAGUAUUUCGGUGUGUAAAGCUCUAUCAGCAGGGAAGAAAAUGACGGUACCUGACUAAGAAGCCCCGGCUAACUACGUGCCAGCAGCCGCGGUAAUACGUAGGGGGCACGCGUUAUCCGGAUUUACUGGGGGUAAAGGGAGCGUAGACGGUUAUGCAAGUCUGAAGUGAAAGCCCAGGGCUCAACCAUGGGACUGCUUUGGAAACUGUAGAACUGGAGUGCAGGAGAGGUAAGCGGAAUUCCUAGUGUAGCGGUGAAAUGCGUAGAUAUUAGGAGGAACACCAGUGGCGAAGGCGGCUUACUGGACUGUAACUGACGUUGAGGCUCGAAGGCGUGGGGAGCAAACAGGAUUAGAUACCCGAGUAGUC